rnacentral:rRNA from 1 species
GAUGAACGCUGGCGGCGUGCCUAAUACAUGCAAGUCGAGCGAACGGACGAGAAGCUUGCUUCUCUGAUGUUAGCGGCGGACGGGUGAGUAACACGUGGAUAACCUACCUAUAAGACUGGGAUAACUUCGGGAAACCGGAGCUAAUACCGGAUGAUAUUUUGAACCGCAUGGUUCAAAAGUGAAAGACGGUCUUGCUGUCACUUAUAGAUGGAUCCGCGCUGCAUUAGCUAGUUGGUAAGGUAACGGCUUACCAAGGCAACGAUGCAUAGCCGACCUGAGAGGAUGAGCAGCCACACGGGAACGGAGACACGGUCAAGACUCCUACGGGAGGCAGCAGUGGGGAAUAUUGGACAAUGGGCGCAAGCCUGAUCCAGCCAUACCGCGUGGGUGAAGAAGGCCUUCGGGUUGUAAAGCCCUUUUGUUGGGAAAGAAAAGCAGCAGGUUAAUACCCCGCUGUUCUGACGGUACCCAAAGAAUAAGCAACGGCUAACUUCGUG